rnacentral:rRNA from 1 species
CGAAAGGCGUAGUCGAUGGGAAACAGGUUAAUAUUCCUGUACUUGGUGUUACUGCGAAGGGGGGACGGAGAAGGCUAUGUUGGCCGGGCGACGGUUGUCCCGGUUUAAGCGUGUAGGCUGGUUUUCCAGGCAAAUCCGGAAAAUCAAGGCUGAGGCGUGAUGACGAGGCACUACGGUGCUGAAGCAACAAAUGCCCUGCUUCCAGGAAAAGCCUCUAAGCAUCAGGUAACAUCAAAUCGUACCCCAAACCGACACAGGUGGUCAGGUAGAGAAUACCAAGGCGCUUGAGAGAACUCGGGUGAAGGAACUAGGCAAAAUGGUGCCGUAACUU